UCACUUACCUGGACAGGGUCAAUGGGCUAUCAAGAAGGUUCAUGGCCUAGGUUGGUGACGUCCAUUGCACUUUGGAGGGGUGCCUGCCUAAGGUCGGCCCAAGUUGUCGAGCCUACGUCAUAAUUUGUGGCAGUGGGGGCUUGCGUUCGCGCAGCCCCUGC
rfam:Helianthus annuus linkage group 8, whole genome shotgun sequence.